rnacentral:rRNA from 1 species
CUACCGGGGUAUCUAAUCCCGUUCGCUCCCCUGGCUUUCGAGCCUCAGUGUCAGUUGCCGUCCAGAAAGCCGCCUUCGCCACUGGUGUUCUUCCCAAUAUCUACGCAUUUCACCGCUACACUGGGAAUUCCGCUUUCCUCUCCGGCACUCAAGAUCGAUAGUUUCCUUCCCUUCAUGGGGCUGAGCCCCACGCUUUUAAGAAGGACUUACCGUCCCACCUGCGCUCCCUUUACGCCCAAUCAUUCCGGACAACGCUCGCCACCUACGUAUUACCGCGGCUGCUGGCAC